UCCAACACGGGUCCUUUCCGCGGGCUGCAGUUCCUCACAAACUUCCCUGGCGUGGGUCCUUUCCACGGGCCGAUCUUCAGUCACAGACUGCUCCAGCGCGGGCUUUCCCACGGAGUCACGGCCAUCUUCAGGGGCAUCCACCUGCUCCGGCGUGGGCUCCUCCCCGGGCUGCAGGUGGGCAUCUGCUCCCCUCCGUGGGCUGCGGGGGGACAGCCUGCCAUCUCACCACGGGCUGCAGGGGCAUCCCCUCCUCCGGUGCACCUCCUCCCCUCCUUCUUCACUGACCUCAGUGUCUGCAGAGGGCUUCCUCUCACAUUCCAAUCCCCCUACUCACUGCAGGUUCCCCUUCUUAAAUCUGUUCUCCCAGAGGCGCUACCACCGUCGCUGAUGGGCUCGGCCUUGGCCAGAGGUGGGUCCGACUUGGAGCCGGGGAAGCUUCUAGCAGCUUCUCACAGGAGCCGCCCCUGUAGCCCCCUCCCCCGCUACCAAGAAACCCCACCACACAAACCCAUAACACAGGCACAAUGCCAAGAAGGUUGUAUUAAACAGUCUCUGCAGAUCCCUUCAAGUUCUGAAUUUCCAAUUUCUAACAAAUACCACAGCUAGCUAGCUGUGUUCGUACAAUAGCUAGCUCCAUUUGUGAAUAACAUGUAAGAAAAUGAAAAUACUUAGAGCCCACUGAGCCCAGUACCCUGAAGCCAGCAACACUAGUAACAGGUGCCUUAAGAAAAAGAUGAGCGCAGGGCAGAUGUAAUCUUCCUCCCUUUGCAUUCAAACCUUUUCAAAUUUACUGCCUUUUCAGCAGUGCAGACUUGACCUGUACAACAUGCUGAAGACGUGAGUUCCAUAGCUCAAGAUCUCUUUUCUCUCUCUCUCUUUUUUUUUUUUUUUUUUAAAUCUGCUAAUAGGCUUAUUGACCUCUUUAUCUUUUUACUAUGAACAAAACCAGUGGGCAGUUACUCUUUCUCUUUUUCCAUGUCAUUUGUGUUAUUAUAGACUUCCAGCAUAACUGCUUUGUCCCCCGAAGUAACAGUGUUGCUUGUACUACAUUGAUUUAAAGUUUAGCACUGUAAAAAUGUGAAAGCACAUCUGCUUUUAAUAACUGGAGGCUGAAAAUUGCAAGCUUACUGUACUUUCUGAGGUAAUAAUUGCAAUUUUACAGUUUCUACAAAAUGUUUAAGAGUUAGCUUCUGCACUUACAGUGUGGAACACAAGUUAGAAGCAAAAAAGCAUGCUUCUUCAGUUUCAGUAUGUUUUGCUAAAGAACAUAGACACUAUUUUAUAUAGUCACUCAUAUUAGUUAUGUAUCAUCCCUAUUUUUAUACACGUUGGCCGUCUUGGUCAAACCGAAAGACUUACUCUUGCUUAACAUCAAGAUGAACACACAUUGAAGGAUUCACCCACAAGCUGCAUUAACCUUUAUCUCGUAAACAGAGAAAAGCAUUUUCAAUAUGAUUAAAAUCAAAAGCCCGGCAGUAAAGACUUAGGCAUUUUUAACUCUUAAACCCUUUCUUAUGCAAACUCACCCUUCAGGCCUUUAAAAUUUUGUUUGUAUCCACUUGUUUUUUUCUAUUCCCCUUCUGCUUGUACAUGCUAGAAGCAGGCUCAGCAGCAGCCAGUGUGUUUUCCUGUCUGUAGAGGUCUAACCUAUAAAUGAAACCAGACAAUAUUGUGGAUGGUAAAUAUGAUACAGGGUGAGAAAGACUGAAGGGCCCGGGGUAUUAUUAACACUAUGUGUGUCUGUCUGUAGACAGACAGUAGGUGUGAUCACCACCGCAGGCCAUUUCACGCUGUCUCAAACAAGACUGUGAAAGCACCUUGCAGUGAAUUGUCAAAAAUCAGUAGGACUGCUUCUGUUCUUCAGCAGUCCUUGCCAAGAAGUAAAGCAUCAAAGAUGCACGCACAAACACAUGAAAUAUCUUUCUGUCUCAUAAAUGUUCCUGCUAGCGAGCUUUGAACCAGGCUGGAUGGCUGGAAGCAACCAUGUUAGAGAUGAACUGGAUGGUUUUUGUUGAUAGCACUUGUUCUUUUGAUAGUAAGACAUGGGUCUAUUGACAGAAUUUCAAACCAGUUGUUUUCAAAGCACUAAGUUUUACUUUCAGACACCACUUUAUAAUCAUGCUUUAAAACUAUUCAAAUAAUUGACUAUGACUUUCUAUUCCCUCCUAUGUGUGCUCAAGUACAGUAGAGAGAAGUGCCAGAGUAAGACGUCCGUGCUGUCUAAUUUGGGAACUCCAGUCUGUGUACAAGAGCAGGAAGGGGUGUAUUCUAAUGUAUGCUAUUGAUAGGGUUUGUGGGAGAUCCCCCUGCAGAGAUAUGUUUUUCUGUGCCCCUCCCUUGCCUCAGUUAACCUGUGAACACCCUUUUUUUCACUUUAUGCUGGACAUAACCUUUUUUUUGCAUACAAAAGGUGUUUUGAACAAGAAGCAGCAGAGGUGCUUUUGCCAGGUUUGUGCCAUCAAAAGUACACCAGACAAGGAGAAUUUUUCCUGAAAUGUGUAGCUGGUGAGGGAUCAUUUUGCAUAGCUGUAGUGUAGCCUUAGUAAGUGGAACGCCUGGGCUAAUUUUAGUGGAACUACUUUGUAUGUAUUUCAGGUAUAUCUGGCAGCAGUUUUGUACCUCCAUUUAAACAAAAAGGAAAAAGAAAUUUCUGGAGGACCCUUUGCUUAAAAUUUUCAGCAGGUUGACUAUUAUAUUUUGUAGCUACCUCCAGCAGGAAUUCUGGAAGUUCAAUAGUACAGACUGGGUAGGUAAACAUAGAGAUGUAUAAGUAAUGUAGAAAAAAUUCUGUUUCACAUACUCUGGUUAACAUACUCACUGAGUAUAUAUAUCUGGUGUCAUGAAUUUACUGAGGAGGUAGCUGCCUGUCCAGUUGUCAGAAUUCUUCUAAGUUGAACUGUGGGACAUGGGUUUUGACUAACUUAAGGAAGGCUGUUCCACAACGAACAUUACCAGGGAUGACACCGUAUCUCAAUAAUUGCUCUCUGAGUGAAAAAAUAGAUUAUUUCAGGUCUCUACAAAAAAUGAGAGAUGAAGUGUAGAAUGCUACUUGCUGUGUGAAACUGCAGACAAUGCCGGUGAAGGUGCAAGAAGAUAUUAGCCCUAGAGGCUGUGCUGUGAUCAAAGUCUGGAAAAUCCUGGGUUCUGAGGAAGAUCAUCAGGAAAAAUACAGCAAGCACCUGAAAAAGGCUCCAUCCUGGCAAGGCACCAUAUGUAUAUCAGGAAUGCUCUGGUGUUUUAUCUUGUUGCUGUUGCAGAGUGAUUAGGAGGAAUGGAACUUGCUUCUUACUCAGUAAAGGAUUCCCCAUGAGGGUAGAGUCACAUGCACUGUUAGGACCAGGAAGUUUUGUACACAUAAACGCAUGCACAUGGAAUCACAGAAUCACAGAACGGUUGAGGUUGGAAGGACUUCUGGAGGCUGAACUUGUGCCAAUGUUUUGUGGUUUUCAUUAUGAAAGACAACAUCAGUUAAAAGUCAACUCUAUGAAACAAAACGAAGUCCAGCUCGCUCUCUUCUGUACAGAAUAUAGAAUAAUCCCUGCUGUUAGCAGUGACUAAAAAUAUGUGGAGGAAUCAAAUCUGUUUAGUCAGUAAGUGACUGUAACAGGCUUUGAGGCACGUAGCUACUACUAACAGGGUGUUCUGGGGUAGCAGUAAACUACAGUAAUCUAGUGUUAACAAACAGUAAACAGUGGUAGAUACAGUGUUUUAAGUGUGAAUCACGAAGUGCAAACUAACCAUUGUUUUCUAGGAAAAAAUAUGUUUUGACGUUGUUUCUUCCCUCAUUUGUAGUAGUUGGCAAAAAUCUAAUCUUUGCACAGAGACCACUUCUUCAUCUAGCACAAGUUUUGUGAUGUUCUGCAAUACUAGUGUCCGACAUUGACUGGUGUUAAGCAACUGUGUGACCUUUCUAGAAGUCAGCCAUACUGCUUUGUGCCUCUCAGGGGUCAAGCCCAGAGCAUUCACAAGGCUUCAGGAGCAGUAUUGCCGAUGACUUCUAAAACAGAUUAAUUUUCAUUGUAACUGUGGCCCAAACUGUGCAAAAUUUUCUCACAUCCCUAAUCCACUGGAGUCAUCAAGACCAUUCAUGUGAGCAAUUUACUGACCUUCAUUUGUCUUGCUCUGUGCUGUAGAUAUUGGGCUGCUAUUUUCUUCUCCCAUACAACUUCUUUUCAACUAAACCUCUAGUUUUAGAUCUCAUUUGUGUUAACAAAGGAAUUCCUUUUAAAGUAUCAUCCAGUUACGCAUAUUCUUUUAAGGAAUAUAAUUUCACACUUGCAUGUUAUUCUGAGCUUGCAAAGUGUCUUCUGACAGUAAAAAGUUGAUCUCGGAUUCUCACUUAGAACGAGUAAGCAUAGAUCCAGUGCCUGCAAGAUAUAUCAAAUGAAAAGGGCUGUCUGAAUAAUAGAAGAGAAAAAAUAAUCUACCAUUCUUCAGUACAGAUUUGCAAUUUCAGCAGCAGAUGGCUCAGAUACAGCAGGGUCUGCCUAUAUGAAUAGCAACAUUGUUAUUCAUCUAUCAGCCUCAUUACACCUAGGCAGUCUGUCUGUGCCCUGUUAUAGGCACCCUAUUGUAACCCGAGAAUACAUUUUGAUCAAGAUGUAUAAUCCUGGCAUUAAAUAAGAACAUUUUAAAAUGGGAUUUUUGUGAGGAUGAUUAACAUGGCAUCCCAAAUUCUGAUCCUACUGUGAUGAGAAGAAGAAUGAAUUCAUCACCACUGCAUUUUGAAUCUUGGCACCUUGAGACAUUCUAGUGACUCAGAAGGCUGGAUUUGCUUUCUUAUCUGCAUAUUGAAUUUCAAGACCAAUGAUAGACCUUGAUGAUAGAAAAAUAGUCUGUAAUCAUCGGAAAGAUUCUCAUUAAAAUAAUGACACUGCAAAAAGCUUUAAUAGCAAAUGAGGAAGUAUCAACUUCUUUGAAGUGCAUAGAUUCAGUACUAGACAGAGGAGGGGUUAUGGCUAGCUUUCAUUUAGUAACUGAACUGAAAUAGAAGCAGUGAACAUAUACAACUGGAAUUAGGGCACAGUGUGUUUAAGGUUUUCAAAGAAGAUUAAAAAUAUCAGGAUUUGCAUUUGUUAUACAAUCAGGCAAAAUGUAGGGCCAGGGGAAGCUACCUUUUAAAAGAUGCCUACCUGGUAUUUUUAGAUCUUAAUAAAGCCUUUAAAUUUCUAUUCAAAACAUAUUUGUUUAACACAUUUGUUUAAGAAGCUGAAUCAGUUUCUGGGAUUUGUAGUGACUGAAAUUUCCAACCGUUUGCUUUCAGACAUGCAUUUGCAGGAACACCCAGUAUGGAUGAAAAGCAGUGUACAAAUUAGGAAUAUAAACAAAGACUGAGGAGUGGGUUGCCAUGUCAGAAAGUAGAAGGUGGCCACCAGCUGCAGUAAGUGGAGCCAGGACUAUCUGUUCCCCCUUAGAAAUUUACCCCUUAGAAAGUAGCCUUGGUGUACUGGAAGAGAACAUGAGAUAUAUAUCAGAAAACAGCUCUGAGGGGUGAGAACAGAAUCUAGAUUAAAGAUUUUCGUAUACACAUACACACAAACACUCACAAUUGAAAAACUUAAAGCUCAGAAGGGCACUGACUGGAGAGUACUGAGAUAGGGAAGCAAGUCAUCAGAGACUUAAAGACAGGGAGGGGAUCUCAAGUGGCUGUGCUGCAGAAAAUGCCUGUUUGGCUCUCACCUAAGAUAUAAGCCAUCAAAGAAGGCUCAUAUCAAAGUAAAGCUCACAUAUUUGUGAGCACGCCAAGAAGAAAAUAUUUGCUGGUGAGGCUAAUGGGGAAGAGAAAGCCAUUUCAACAGUAGCUUAGUAGUGACAGGACAAAGUAGCUGUGAUUAAAUGGUAUGAAUGAUAAACGUUUAAACCACAUUGUUCAGGAAAGAGAACUACUGAGGUGGUUUCUGUUACAUAGUUUGGCAUAUAUGUCUUUGAUCUGUGUACCUCUUACAACUAUCAAAAAGCAAUUUGGCCAUUCAAGCAGCCAGCUUCACAAGAAAUUGCUCUACUGAUUUACUGUUUAAGGUUGGACAAACCAACUACCCUUGUUUUAUUUUGCUGAAUUCUACCAUAGGUGUGGAAGCAUCUGUGUGUUUCACAGAAUUACAGAAUGGCUCAGGUUGGAAGGGACCUCUGGAGGGCAUCUGGUCCAACCCCCCUGCUCAAGCAGGGUCACCUACAGCCAGUUGCCCAGGACCAUGUCCAGACAGCUUCUGAAUAUCUCCAGGGAUGAAGAUCCCACAACUUCUCUGGGCAACCUGUGCCAAUGCUCGAAGCCCUUUCUGUGGUGAUUUCUACACAACAGUCCUGCUAUCUGGUUGUGUGGACACACAUACGGAUUUCAACAACCAAAUGCAAUGCAAGUUAAUGAAGCACGCUAUACCCAUAAGUGAAAGAAAUUAGUAUUUCACCUGCUGGAAAUUCCAAAAUAGAAGUAUCUAAAGAAAAGUGUGCUUGAAUACUAUGACUCUGGCCAUGCACGUUUUCAUCAGCAACUGAAGCACCAUGGUCUCUUCAGAUGAUAGGAAGAUCAGCAUGUCUCUUCACAAAACCAAAGUGAAACUCAUGGACAGCUAGAAAUUUCAGGGAAAUCUAAUUUUAUACUCCAGUGUGUGAAAUAUAAUUUAUGGGGUGGUGGGUGGUGGUGAUGGUAUGCAUUACAUCAAGGUGAUGUGCUACUAAGAGGAAGAAUUCAGAUGACAAUUUCUCCAGAAAAACCUGACUAGACAUUCUGGCAAAACACUGUUUCUUUGUUUAUAGUAAUUCUUCCAAUCGGCCUGUUGUGGACCUUACUGAAAAUUUCCAGAGGUUUUCAGUGUUUAAGGACUAUAUAUUUUUUUGCUUGCAAUGGGUUAUAAAAACUAUCCUUUAAAAAAAAUAAAGAAAUAUCCAAAUUAUUCCUUGUUUUUUCACAGAAAAUUGUCUUCCUCUUGCCUCUGCCCUCCUGUGACUGUAGAACAUGAAGCUCUUGUGUCUACUCUACCUCAGCUGAGGUAUUUAAGUAAUGGGCUGAAAGUGAAAAAUGGGGCUAAGAGGAAAAGAAAAUUUACUGUAGCUAAAACCAGUGAGCUUUAGUUGAUUUAUUUUUGGUUGUUAGCAUUGGGAUUUUUUUGUUGUUGUUGUUGUUUUCAAAAUUGAAACUAAUCUGAUGAGGCAAACUAAGGUGAAGUGGCUUGUCCAAAGUCACCCAAGACACAACCCUGGUCUCCUGGAACACAGUUUAUUGAUGUCUGUCCACCCCUUACGGUGGUGGUUACUACAGCACCUGCCCCAAGAGUAAGAGGGUAGGGCUGUAUUUCAAGGCUGCAUCAGUCUACGGUAGUUUUAAUCUGUAUUUCAGGAAAGCACCUCAGCCACCGGGUGCUGUGAAUUCAGAGUGAGUUUGUUUUUCAUGCCUCCCUUGAAGGCUGGCCAUGCUAUUACUUGAAGAUUAAAGUCAAAUAGUCAACAAGGCAGCAAAUAAGAAGUCAAUCAAUUGUAGUCCUGUUGCUGAAGCAAGUAGGGUGUAGGUUCAGCCCAACAAUAUUGAUUAAUCUUGACAGCUGUUCUCCCACUUAGGGUUAUAGCCUCUGGUUUUGAACCUGGGACAGUCUAGGGUAAAAUACAUGCACUUGCCUGGUAGCAGAGCAUGAUAUCCCCCACUGUGCCCUCUUUCAGAUGAGAGCACAUGGAGUCCUGCUUGUCUACUAUUCUUCUGGCCCCGUGACUGGCAUUGUUGACUGCAUGGCCUUAGGAAGGCUGGAGAGUGCCCCCUCUUUCACUUCAACCCUCCCAAAAGGGCCUUUACCUGCUGCUUUAGAUAUACUUCUACAAGUUGGAAGAUGUUGUUUCACUUCCUGAUAUGAAAAAUGUCUUGCUUUCUUCUGCUGCUCCGAACAUUUUAACAUCACUGGGAGACUCUUCGGUUGUACUUUAGGAUAAUGAAAAUAUUUGCAGACAUGCAAAAACAUGCUCUGUAUGGGCUUUAGAGGAUGACUACUUUAGCAGAUGCAGUGAGGAUAAGACAAUGAUACAUAAUUGCAGCUAAUUUUUUUGGUUGUCAAGUUUUAGUGUCUUAUUUUAGGCCUAUUGCUAUGGUUUUGAUAGAUUUCAUUGGAAGAUUACAUGCUGGUGCAACAGCUUUUUGAUAAAAAUUGUCUUUAGUUGGUUGGAAUGGAAUUUAGGGCUUAAACAAGCUAAAGAAGAACUCAAAUUUCAAGGCCAGGUCAGACAAUCAUGCAAAUCUGCAGCUGUCACUUUUUAAGAGACUGAAAUGAUAACGACCACACUUCAAUUGUUUCAUGAAAGAUCUUCAAGCAAAGCUGAAUUUUUUUUCCCCUUUGGAGAACUGGGAUUUCUUUAUCUUAAUGAAAUUCUUGUCUAUGGCACUGGUCUUUCCCCUUUCCUCCCCUAAACCAAAAAAAUUAUCCUUUUUUUUCCAGCUAUAACCUACUCUGCAAGUACAAACAUAUGCACAUUCUGAAGACUUACUGCACUCCUACCAAGUGGUGAACAACUCGUUGAGAUGGAGAAGUACUGCAUUUUACACGGCACCAUAUUGAUUACUGUAGAUAAGAAACGUGUUGUCUUAUUUGGGCUUUCCCUGGUGGCAGUUUAAAAGCAUUUAAAGAGGCUGCUGCUGGCCGCCCCUGAGGAGACAGCCCCCUUGGUAAUCAGUUUGGUUGGUGCCAGCUGUGGUACCUGGCACCCUGCCUCAGAAAAAUCCUGUUGGCAAUUUAAAGAGCUUGCUGUUGCAUCCCACAGCAUGAGGUGAGUUGCUGCUCCCAUUCUUUUGGGUAGAAAAUGGUUAAAAGCUCCCCAGGAGUGGGCUGGGUGGGUCAGGCAGGCAGCCCUGGGGGUAGGCAGGAGGUCUGCCAUUAUGGAGGGGAGAUAGACUUGAUGCUGCUUGUCCUCUUGAGGGUGAGGGGUGUGUUGUGUGGCCAAAAGCAGAAAGCUCACAGCAGCGUGUGGUUGUGAGGAAGGGGUGGGGGCACCAUGGAGCCUUGAGGGCUGCUGAGAAACGGGGUGGGGGCAGCCUCGGACUAGCAUGGUGGGGCGGCGGCCAUGUUGUAUCGCGGCAUGCCGGCCCUGGGGCUGAGACCACCUGUGUGAAACCAAACUGUCCAUGGAGUGUUGGCCUCCUGCCUGCAAACUGAGUUUGCGUGCGGCCUCGUGUGCCUCGUAAUCGGUAAGGGUAUGGGAUGGUACAGCUGUUAAGGAGUAGGGGCAUCUAGAACGUGCUAAUUUUUUGCUUUUUGCCUAAAUCCAGUGCGUUUCCUUGUCUACCUGUGAUGUCCCCUACGGCACAGUGCACUAAGGCAGGGUUGGUGUGGGGCGAAGAAGAAACCUGUAAGUCUUUCAUGGAAAAAUAUUCUCUUCUUUCCAGCUAGCUCAAUGGCUUACCUUUAUUAACUUGGAUCAUUUGUUUCAUCCCACAUUAUUUUAAAGAUGAACUGACAUAACUAGACUCCAGUUCAGUAGAUCUCAAACUUACCUCAGUUAGAUUUAUGGAACAAAAUCAUUUAUAUAUAAAGCAGCAUUUUAUGUGCUAACAUGAAUAUGGAAAUCCGGGAAAGGAAAAUAUGAAUUCCGAUACUUGAUCUCCUUGAAAUCCUGCAAGUAUAGCUACAGUGUAUUUCAAAUAACUGCCUUACUGAGGGAAAAUGUCUUAUAUUAUUCAAACCCCUGCUACCUGAUUUGAAUUUAUGACUGUCUAAAUAUGCUCUGUGGCUGAAUUACAAGGCAUGUGUGUAUAUUAAACCUGGUGACUGUGGGAAGUAAGUAACAGUGAUAUGCAACUUAAUGAUCAAAACCAAGAGCUGAUGUGACCAAUGGACUCUAAUAGAUGUAAGUAGUUUGAGUGCUUGUCAUCUAUCCACAUGAUCCUAGUGUUGGCAGCCUGUUGAAAGUGAUGCGUGGGAAACUAGUGCAAAGUGCUGAUUUAUUUUAUGCUAAUGGGGAAAAGUCCAUAUUGUUCAAAUUAAAUCCUAAAGCAGAAACAAAUCAUGCAGCCAAGCCCAUCCUAUGGAGUUUCAUUGAAACAGUUAGUGGUCUCUUUCGUGACCUCAGAGUUGUAAAAAUGAAACAAUGUUAGGGGGCUGCUGUUUUCAAGUGCUUCUGGCUGCUGAAAGCAGCUGAGAUUCUCCUACAGAUGGCUAUUUAAGUUAAAAGCCAA